UCCCCCCCUAAUUUGACGGUCCCUUUUGAAAUUUAGAAGGCACGCCCAUUCAUUCAAAUUCCACUUUCUAUCUUCAAAAUUCCAUUUUUCUCUCUUCAAACAAAUCAAACCUCUGUAACUCAAAAAUCACACCAUUGUUCACCACUAAGUUCCGAUUUAGGGUUCUGUAUUAGAAACAAAAAGAGCAAAACCAAGUAUGUGAUUUAGGGUUAUAUUCUUUAACCUCUGUUGAGAUCCUAUUGAUAUAUGAUAGAAAAGACCUCUCUCUAUAUUUUACUAAGGAGGGCUCGGCUAGAGAGCGAGAGACAAAACCUAAAGGACGAGGAAGUGAGGGCUCACCGAAGUCAUACAAGAAGAUCAGUUCCACCGGAUUGUCAAAGCUUUGGAGGUUCCGAGAUCUAUACACCAACAACGACAAGUUCAUAUUAAAAAUCGGAUGAGGCAUCGAUUUGUUAUCUAUCCCGUUGAUGGUGUUGAGAUUGUUGUGUCUAGUCUGUUCUUUGGCUGGAAUAUUUCGACUCAACCGGGUUUCUCGUGUAGCUAGCGAUGGUGGUGUUGGGUUUCUAGGAAAUGGACAGGUUGAAGGGGAUGGGUAUUCUCUUUAUUGAAAAAGAGGAAAAAGGGGUCCUAUGAUGGAGGAUCGAUAUUCAGCCCUUGCCGAUGUUCAAGGAGAUUCCAAAUAGGGUAUAAGAGGCCAUUGUGGGAGGAUGUCUAAAUUAUGAUGAUGUUUACAAGGAGGUAAACCCUAAAAGGUGACUACCGGGAAGGUAUUACAAGGUUCAAUGCUUGGAUCAAACACAACUCUUGAGAGCAGUCGAUUUAAUGAUGCAUGAUCAAAGAAAGUUUAAAAUCUUCUGCGUCCUACUUGAUGAUUUAAAGAAACCAGGGAUUUUGAUGCAUUUGAAUUAAUGAGUAGUCUAUAGUUAUGUUUAGUUAUAGCGUAUUUGGAUCAUAUUAUUAUGGUUGGACUAAAUUUCAAAUUAUCUUUUCUUUUCUUUUCUUUUUUCCUUUUUUGUUAUUAUCAAAUUUAGAAUCUAGUUGUAGUUAUUUGUAACUUUAUCUCUGUAAUAGAGGUUUUGGCUUUUUGACAA